rnacentral:rRNA from 1 species
GAUAGUGGCGCACGGGUGCGUAACGCGUAACCAACCUACCCUUGACUGGGGGAUAGCCCGCCGAAAGGCGGAUUAAUACCGCAUAAAACUGCAGAACGGCAUCGUUUAACAGUUAAAGAUUUAUUGGUCAAGGAUGGGGUUGCGUGCCAUUAGCUAGUUGGUGUGGUAAAGGCGCACCAAGGCGACGAUCCUUAGCUGGUCUGAGAGGAUGAUCAGCCACACUGGGACUGAGACACGGCCCAGACUCCUACGGGAGGCAGCAGUGGGGAAUAUUGGACAAUGGGCGAAAGCCUGAUCCAGCAAUGCCGCGUGAGUGAUGAAGGCCUUAGGGUUGUAAAGCUCUUUUACCCGGGAUGAUAAUGACAGUACCGGGAGAAUAAGCUCCGGCUAACUCCGUGCCAGCAGCCGCGGUAAUACGGAGGGAGCUAGCGUUGUUCGGAAUUACUGGGCGUAAAGCGCACGUAGGCGG